rnacentral:antisense_RNA from 1 species
UAGUCGAAGUCGUCGAAGUCGUCGUCGAAGUCGUCGAAGUCGUCGACGACGUCGUCGACUUCGUCGACUUCGAGGACGACGUCGACGACUUCGUCGACUUCGAGGACGACGUCGACGACUUCGUCGACUUCGAGGACGACGUCGACGACUUCGUCGACUUCGAGGACGACGUCGACGACUUCGUCGACUUCGAGGACGACGUCGACGACUUCGUCGACUUCGAGGACGACGUCGACGACUUCGUCGACUUCGAGGACGACGUCGACGACUUCGUCGACUUCGAGGACGACGUCGACGACUUCGUCGACUUCGAGGACGACGUCGACGACUUCGUCGACUUCGAGGACGACGUCGACGACGUCGUCGACGUCGUCCUCGAAGUCGACGAAGUCGUCGAAGUCCUCGAAGUCGUCGUCGAAGUCGUCGAAGUCGUCGACGUCGU